rnacentral:rRNA from 1 species
UGGGGAAUAUUGGACAAUGGGCGAAAGCCUGAUCCAGCCAUGCCGCGUGUGUGAAGAAGGUCUUCGGAUUGUAAAGCACUUUAAGUUGGGAGGAAGGGCAUUAACCUAAUACGUUAGUGUUUUGACGUUACCGACAGAAUAAGCACCGGCUAACUCUGUGCCAGCAGCCGCGGUAAUACAGAGGGUUCAAGCGUUAAUCGGAAUUACUGGGCGUAAAGCGCGCGUAGGUGGUUUGUUAAGUUGGAUGUGAAAUCCCCGGGCUCAACCUGGGAACUGCAUUCAAAACUGACUGACUAGAGUAUGGUAGAGGGUGGUGGAAUUUCCUGUGUAGCGGUGAAAUGCGUAGAUAUAGGAAGGAACACCAGUGGCGAAGGCGACCACCUGGACUAAUACUGACACUGAGGUGCGAAAGCGUGGGGAGCAAACA